ensembl:misc_RNA Vault Vault RNA
GGGUCGGCUUUAGCUCAAGCGGUUACUUCGCGCAUUGUCUUCUGACUAGCAAUCUCUUCACAGGGGUUCGAGACCCGCGGGUGCUUUCUGACCCUUUU